rnacentral:rRNA from 1 species
GACGUAGGGCGCAAGCGUUGUCCGGAUUUACUGGGCGUAAAGAGCGCGUAGGCGGUCUGUUAAGUGUAGAGUGAAAUCUCCAGGGCUCAACCCGGAAACUGCUCUGCAUACUGGCAGACUUGAGGGACUGAGAGGUGAAUGGAAUUCCUGGUGUAGCGGUGAAAUGCGUAGAUAUCAGGAGGAACACCGGUGGCGAAGGCGGUUCUCUGGGCAUGUCCUGACGCUGAGGAGCGAAAGUGUGGGGAGCGAACAGG